GUCAAGUCCAGCUUGAAUACUAAGUUAAGCUAACAAGAUAUAAGGGAGUAGCCUCAUGCCUGAAUUGGAUAUGUGAACUGGCUACAAUAAAAUAUAUGUGUAAGAUGCAAUUCUACUUAAGGUGUCUAGUGGAAUAAAAGUGAUAAUUGUUCACUGGGGCCACAAUAGGACAUUCCAACAUGCACAGACACAAGGCAAAUGGCUGAGAUUUUUUUAUAUGAUCUUCAAAUAGGGUUGACAUGGAUCUGAUAUAACAAAUUUCAAGCCCAAGUACAGCAAGCAUUUAUAAUUAUCUAGAAACAAAUCUGGUUACAACCAUCCUAGAGAUGCACACAUCAAAUUCUAUGCCAAGCGCUUUCAUAUACAAUAUCUGAUUGUUACAACAAACAUUUUAAAAAAGGUAUUAAGGUUAUAGAGGCUGAUCAUUAAGACAAAAUGGCAUAAACCCUACAGAAAACACUUUAGAAUUUCUGACCCAUUCAUUUGUUUUUCAAAAUUUUUGUUUCACAGACACUUAUUAAACAAUUGCUAUACCCCAGGCAUUAUUCUAUAUGCUUUGUAAAUUUCAACUCAUAAAGAAUACAAAGUAGAUACUAUUAUUAUGGCCAUUUUACAGAUGAGUAAAUUGAAACACAAAUAGGCAAGUAACUUGCACAAUGACACACAGCUAGCAAGAGGCAAAGCCUGGAUUCAAACUAGGAUUCCAUCAUCUUAACCACUACCUUGUGCUAUUUCUCAAGGUGUGAAAGCUAUUUUAAAGGCAGGAGGAUUUGCAUGCCCAGAUAUCUGCAUUUAGACUUUCCUUGUGUUCCAUCCUUUUGUCUGGGUCAGUGGCUGUCAACUGGUGACAUCCAUAAGUAUUAAUCUUUCCAUGUUAUAAAGACUUUUGAGGACAAGUAUGGCUAUAAAGUGAGUUUGGCUAACAUGCUUGCUUUGGAACCACAUCUAUGUAGAUAAUACACUUAAUGUAAAUGGAAAACUUAUCCCCAUAAAUAUAAUGAAAGAAACUAAGAAGCCCAGUCUUCAUUUAACUAUUGUCCAAUAAUUCCUUUGUAAAUGAGUAAACUGAUACCCUUUGGAAGGGACAUAACCAAUUUCAGGCUAGGAAAUAUCAUUUAUAUUGUGUUGGAUGAGGUGAUUCAUUCCACAGCCUCAAAGACUCAAUGUAAGCCAUCUUCAUGUCUUGUUUAUCCUGCAUCUGUUUUUAAUCCAUGGAAACAGAGACUUCUCCAUUUCACUAGACAGCAUAGAUGGACCCAAGAAUAAGCAGUCUGUUUAGGCAUAGCUAUGUGCACCUACCUUGACUGAUAGCUUUAUUUAGCAUAGUAGGGUUGGGUUUGCAGUAGAAUGUCUGUUGAGAAGAGGUUAAAGACAAGCAUAAAAUGAGGCUUAUACAAGCAAAGAACAAAGCAAAAUCUUGUUUUGCUGUAUGUCAUGAAGAAUAGCCUAUUAUUUCACGUGACUAGGUGAUUGAAGGAACUAGUUAUAUUGACGGUUGCCAUGGAUAUGCACUGCUCUAACUGGUCCCAGAUUAUAAUAGGAACCAGAGACGAUGAGUUUAGGAAUAGCAGGCAAAGGGAUCUGGCUUUAUCAACUGGUAGAAGUCUGUGUGUUAGCAUCUGAGAUCAAUCAGGAUGUUCACAUCUGUCUAGUUUGUACUUAGUAAAACAAAAAAAGAUGUUCACAAUCACGUUUAUGGCUUUCAAAAUCCAAGAGAUGAAUUUGCUCUCAUAGAAUACUAAUAACAAUGGCAGGUUUACAGGGCCAGCUGGGUAGAGCAGGGCCAACAAUAUCUUCCUUGCAGUGUUCUUUUCAUUUAAUUAAUUGAUAUAUGUAUAUUUAUAUAAAUACAAAAAUGUAAAAAAUAUUUAAAAAUAUAUUUUUUUCAUUGCUUCUGCCUUGCUUAGGUCUGUCUCCAGUCUAAGUUAUGUUUCCAUGGAAUGGACUCCAACUGUUGAUCCAUGAGCAAUAGUUCAUGGGACUUGACUUCCUCUAUUUUGAUAUUUAAAGCAAUUAAUUUAAGGUUACUUCCAUUUUUGUGUGCACGUGUACAUAAGUCUGAAAUAUUUAGUGCUCAAGAUUGGCGUUGCUUUAGAUUUUGGGACUCUGUAUUUGUGUAGAAUCUUCUUGCUGGGCAAUCCAUCGCUAGCCUAACUUAAGACAUUGUACACAUGUAAAAAUAAUGGAGCUGCAUUAAAAAAAUCUAUAAUUCAGAUUUGGUUUUUUUUUUUGCUAAUUCCAGAUUCACUUGGUAGUUAGCAUUAUUAAAGUUUUGGGUCAUAUUACUAGAGUUUUUUUUUUUUUUUUUUUUUUUUGAGACGGAUUCUCGCUUUGUCUCCCAGUCUGGAGUGCAGCGGCACGAUCUCAGCGGACUGCAACCUCCAUCUCCUGGGUUCAAGCGAUUCUCCUG
rnacentral:lncRNA from 1 species